CCUACGGGGGGCAGCAGUGGGGAAUAUUGGACAAUGGGGGGAACCCUGAUCCAGCCAUGCCGCGUGUGUGAAGAAGGCCCUCGGGUUGUAAAGCACUUUCAGUGAGGAAGAACGCCUGGUGGUUAAUACCCAUCAGGAAAGACAUCACUCACAGAAGAAGCACCGGCUAACUCCGUGCCAGCAGCCGCGGUAAUACGGAGGGUGCGAGCGUUAAUCGGAAUUACUGGGCGUAAAGCGCGCGUAGGUGGCUUGAUAAGCCGGUUGUGAAAGCCCCGGGCUCAACCUGGGAACGGCAUCCGGAACUGUCAAGCUAGAGUGCAGGAGAGGAAGGUAGAAUUCCCGGUGUAGCGGUGAAAUGCGUAGGGAUCGGGAAGAAUACCAGUGGCGAAGGCGGCCUUCUGGACUGAAACUGACACUGAGGUGCGAAAGCGUGGGUAGCAAACAGGAUUAGAUACCCUGGUAGUC
rnacentral:rRNA from 1 species